rnacentral:rRNA from 1 species
UGAGUAACCUGCCCUUAACUCUGGGACAAGCCUGGGAAACUGGGUCUAAUACCGGAUAUGACUCCUCAUCGCAUGGUGGGGGGUGGAAAGCUUUAUUGUGGUUUUGGAUGGACUCGCGGCCUAUCAGCUUGUUGGUGAGGUAAUGGCUCACCAAGGCGACGACGGGUAGCCGACCUGAGAGGGUGACCGGCCACACUGGGACUGAGACACGGCCCAGACUCCUACGGGAGCAG